rnacentral:rRNA from 1 species
UAAGGAAUAUUGGUCAAUGGACGCAAGUCUGAACCAGCCAUGCCGCGUGGAGGAUGAAGGUCCUCUGGAUUGUAAACUUCUUUUAUUUGGGAAGAAACCCAUGUUUUCUAAUGUGGUUGACGGUACCAGAUGAAUAAGCACCGGCUAACUCCGUGCCAGCAGCCGCGGUAAUACGGAGGGUGCAAGCGUUAUCCGGAUUCACUGGGUUUAAAGGGUGCGUAGGCGGGUUGGUAAGUCCGUGGUGAAAUCUCCAAGCUUAACUUGGAAACUGCCGUGGAUACUAUCAAUCUUGAAUAUCGUGGAGGUAAGCGGAAUAUGUCAUGUAGCGGUGAAAUGCUUAGAUAUGACAUAGAACACCAAUUGCGUAGGCAGCUUACUACACGAUCAUUGACGCUGAGGCACGAAAGCGUGGGGAGCAAACA